AUCACAUCUAUAGACACAAUGUCGACACAAUACUGUAUAGCCGCCUUUUUCUUAUUCUGUGUCGUCUCAUGGGGCACUGUUGCUGCAGAAGAUGCUGAAACGGAUCAAAGCUUCAGGGAACCAAGACAUUUAUUAAAAAACAAAUUGUGCUUCAUUGGACUUUGUGGCGGAUACCAGGGUAAUCAUGGAUACCAGGGGGGUCAUGGAUACCAGGGUCACGGCGGUUACAGCGGCUAUCAAGGUGGAUAUCCACCAAUCAACAUAGGCAUUAGCCAAUCCCAAUCUUCGGCAGGAUACGGAGGAUAUAAUCCCUACUAUAACAGCCAAUACAACUAUCCCGUGUUAGCAGGACCCAACGCUGGGUACGGUCAUGGACCCAGCUUCGGUAACGGCCUUGGUUCUUAUAACAACCAAUUUAACGGAAACUAUUACUCGGGAGGUUCCGGUUAUGGACACCGUCAACCACACUUUAGCGGUUUUUAUGAUGAAUAUUCAGAUGGCUAUCGAAGCUUAAAAAGGUCAGCUAAGAAUGACGACUAGAUUAUAAAUGAUUUUAUUACACAUAGAUUUAAGAACGUAUUAAUAAAUUUUAAAGUAUUUUCAUC